AAAUAAAAAACUGGAAAUGCUUCCCAUAUCUUCAGUAACAUAAUCCUACACAUACAUUACAUAACUUUGUUAUUCUCAAUUUAGUUACCAAUGGCUUCUAGCAGUAAAAGGAUCCUCAGUGGCACAAUCUAGAUCGCUAUUUUGAGAAGUUAUGUUCAGAGCUUACACCACAAAAACAAUUGAAAGAGGAGGCAGAAAUUGUGAUGCAACAACUAAUGACCUUUGUUCAAUAUACAGCUCCAUGUUGUGUGAAGGUAUCUUAUUUGAGAUUCACUGUUGUAGUUUGAGAUUCACUGUCACGCCCUAAGCAAUUCAGCUUGGAAGAAUUUGAGAAUUUCUUGCUCUCUCGCUUCUCCAAGGACGUUAAGGUUCACUCUUUCUGAAUCACAACCAAACCACAGAGGGAAGGUUCUGAAUCUGAACAGUCAAAAGAUCCUUAGAGAGGCUGAAAGUGAUCUUCACCUAUUUUCUUGUCACUACUCAACAGGUAAGAGAUAGUUUUUUGCUUGCUAAACUAAUAUAUCUGUGUUUCCCAUCCCCUUCUGAAGGCAAAGAGUUGACUUGCUUUAGAUGGUUUUCUUCCAAUACCUGACUGGUCAAUGUGCAGGAAAUUUAAAGGUAUUGUGCAAUAUCCAAUUGUUUGCUAAAGCUAUGCUCCAUACUAUCAAGAUUUUUUUCAUAUGCUCUUCAUAUUCCUAUCAGAUAAAGACACUAGAACCAACUAAGCUUUUUUUAUUUUAAGUGUUAGGAACUUGGUUACAAUUUAGUAUUAUAUAAGUAGGUU